rnacentral:rRNA from 1 species
GACGAACGCUGGCGGCGUGCUUAACACAUGAAAGUCGAACGGAAAGGCCCCUUUGGGGGUACUCGAGUGGCGAACGGGUGAGUAACACGUGAGUAACCUGCCCUUGACUUCGGGAUAACUUCAGGAAACUGGGGCUAAUACCGGAUAGGAAUCCUUGCUGCAUGGUGGGGGUUGGAAAGCUUCGGCGGUUUUGGAUGGACUCGCGGCUUAUCAGCUUGUUGGUGGGGUAGUGGCUUACCAAGGCUUUGAAGGGUAGCCGGCCUGAGAGGGCGACCGGCCACAUUGGGACUGAGAUACGGCCCAGACUCCUACGGUAGUCAUCUGUGGGGAAUAUUGCACAAUGGGCGGAAGCCUUAUGCAGCAACGCCGCGUGCGUGAUGACGGCCUUUGGGUUGUAAACCGCUUUCAGCAUGUUCGAAGCUUGUGGUGACGGUACCUGCAGAAGAAGCACCGGCUAACUACGUG